CUAACUACGUGCCAGCAGCCGCGGUAAUACGUAGGUGGCGAGCGUUAUCCGGAAUGAUUGGGCGUAAAGGGUGCGUAGGUGGCAGAUCAAGUCUGGAGUAAAAGGUAUGGGCUCAACCCGUACUUGCUCUGGAAACUGAUCAGCUAGAGAACAGAAGAGGACGGCGGAACUCCAUGUGUAGCGGUAAAAUGCGUAGAUAUAUGGAAGAACACCGGUGGCGAAGGCGGCCGUCUGGUCUGGAUUCUGACACUGAAGCACGAAAGCGUGGGGAGCAAAUAGGAUUAGAUACCCUAGUAGUCCACGCCGUAAACGAUGAGAACUAGGUGUUGGGGGAAUAACUCAGUGCCGCAGUUAACGCAAUAAGUUCUCCGCCUGGGGAGUAUGCACGCAAGUGUGAAACUCAAAGGAAUUGACGGGGGCCCGCACAAGCGGUGGAGUAUGUGGUUUAAUUCGAAGCAACGCGAAGAACCUUACCAGGCCUUGACAUCCCUUGCAGAGGUAUAGAGAUAUAUCCGAGGUUAUCAAGGAGACAGGUGGUGCAUGGUUGUCGUCAGCUCGUGUCGUGAGAUGUUGGGUUAAGUCCCGCAACGAGCGCAACCCUUGUGAUAUGUUACUAACAUUGAGUUGAGGACUCAUAUCAGACUGCCGGUGAUAAACCGGAGGAAGGUGGGGAUGACGUCAAAUCAUCAUGCCCCUUAUGGCCUGGGCUACACACGUACUACAAUGGCGUCUACAAAGAGCGGCAAGCCUGUGAAGGCAAGCGAAUCUCAUAAAGGACGUCUCAGUUCGGAUUGAAGUCUGCAACCCGACUUCAUGAAGCUGGAAUCGCUAGUAAUCGCGAAUCAGCAUGUCGCGGUGAAUACGUUCUCGGGCCUUGUACACACCGCCCGUCAAACCAUGGGAGUUGGUAAUGCCCGAAGCCGGUGGCAUAACCCUUCGGGGAGUGAGCCGUCGAAGGCAGGACCGAUGACUGGGGUUAAGUCGUAACAAGGUAUCCCUACGGGAACGUGGGGAUG
rnacentral:rRNA from 1 species